CUGGCAUUGCUGUUACGGAGUCCUAGCAUUUUGGCAUGACAAAAUAUCCAAGGAUUUCACGGAUUAAGGUGUGUUCUGCUCGAGUAGAUUAGUGACUACUAAGAGUAGAUAUUGAAAAUAAGUAGUCGACAUUGCGAUAAAAAUAGAGAGUGGUUGCGCUUAAAGUAGUCGUUGAGACUUGUCUGCCUUUUGGUGAGGAGAGCGCGUGUUGCCACGCAUAGGAUUUGUGCUUCCUUAGGGUGUAGCCGCUAUGAGCCUCCAGCACUCAGUGCACCAAACUUUGUGGCAGAGCCUCCUAGUUUGGUGU
rnacentral:lncRNA from 1 species